CUCAGNAACGAACGCUAGCGGCGGGCUUAACACAUGCAAGUCGAACGAACGAACCRACUUCGGUUGGUAMGUGAGUGGCGCMCGGGUGAGUAACRCGUASGUARCGUGUCCCGGAACGGGGGAUAACWSGCCSARAGGCCUGCUAAKACCGCAUAAGACCCCWKCAUCUUCSGAKGCMKASGUAAAAGGUGGGGAUCUCUUCRGAGACCUGCCAUUCCGGGAGYSGCCUGCGGCCCAUUAGUUCSUAGGUGAGGUAACGGCUCACCUMRACUUUGRUGGGUAGCUGGUCUGAKANGGACGAUCAGCCACACUGGAACUGAGACACGGUCCAGACUCCUACGGGAGGCAGCAGUGGGGAAUAUUGCGCAAUGGGCGAAAGCCUGACGCAGCCACGCCGCGUGAGUGAUGAAGGCCCUAGGGUUGUAAAGCUCUGUCGGGAGGGAAGAAAACCUGUGGGUUAAUAGCCCACAGGGAUGACGGUACCUCGCAAGAAAGCACCGGCUAACUCCGUGCCAGCAGCCGCGGUAAUACGGAGGGUGCAAGCGUUGUUCGGAAUCACUGGGCGUAAAGCGUGCGUAGGCGGCUAGGUAAGUCGGAUGUGAAAGCCCAGGGCUCAACCCUGGAAUUGCAUCCGAUACUGCUUAGCUUGAGGAUGGGAGAGGGAAGCGGAAUUCCUGGUGUAGCGGUGAAAUGCGUAGAUAUCAGGAGGAACACCCGAGGCGAAAGCGGCUUCCUGGCCCAUUACUGACGCUGAGGCACGAGAGCGUGGGGAGCAAACAGGAUUAGAUACCCUGGUAGUCCACGCCGUAAACGAUGAGUGCUAGGUGUUGGGAGUGUUAACCCUCUCAGUGCCGCCGCUAACGCAUUAA
rnacentral:rRNA from 1 species